rnacentral:rRNA from 1 species
CAAGUCGAACGAACCUUCGGGUUAGUGGCGGACGGGUGAGUAACGCGUGGGAAUCUGCCCUCAGGAGGGGGAUAACGGUUGGAAACGACCGCUAAUACCCCAUAUGCCGAUAGGUGAAAUGAAUUUCGCCUGAGGAUGAGCCCGCGUCUGAUUAGCUAGUUGGUAAGGUAAAGGCUUACCAAGGCUUCGAUCAGUAGCUGGUCUGAGAGGAUGAUCAGCCACACUGGGACUGAGACACGGCCCAGACUCCUACGGGAGGCAGCAGUGGGGAAUUUUCCGCAAUGGGCGAAAGCCUGACGGAGCAACGCCGCGUGAGGGACGAAGGCCUCUGGGCUGUAAACCUCUUUUCUCAAGGAAGAAGAUAUGACGGUACUUGAGGAAUAAGCCACGGCUAAUUCUGUGCCAGCAGCCGCGGUAAUACGGGAGUGGCAAGCGUUAUCCGGAAUUAUUGGGCGUAAAGCGUCCGCAGGCGGCCUUUCAAGUCUGCUGUUAAAGCGUGGAGCUUAACUCCAUUAUGGCAGUGGAAACUGAUAGGCUUGAGUAUGGUAGGGGCAGAGGGAAUUCCCGGUGUAGCGGUGAAAUGCGUUGAUAUCGGGAAGAACACCAGUGGCGAAGGCGCUCUGCUGGGCCAUUACUGACGCUCAUGGACGAAAGCCAGGGGAGCGAAAGGGAUUAGAUACCCCUGUAGUCCUGGCCGUAAACGAUGAACACUAGGUGUCGGGGGAAUCGACCCCUUCGGUGUCG